rnacentral:rRNA from 1 species
GCAAGUCGAACGAUGAACCACUUCGGUGGGGAUUAGUGGCGAACGGGUGAGUAACACGUGGGCAAUCUGCCCUGCACUCUGGGACAAGCCCUGGAAACGGGGUCUAAUACCGGAUACUGAUCCUCGCAGGCAUCUGCGAGGUUCGAAAGCUCCGGCGGUGCAGGAUGAGCCCGCGGCCUAUCAGCUAGUUGGUGAGGUAACGGCUCACCAAGGCGACGACGGGUAGCCGGCCUGAGAGGGCGACCGGCCACACUGGGACUGAGACACGGCCCAGACUCCUACGGGAGGCAGCAGUGGGGAAUAUUGCACAAUGGGCGAAAGCCUGAUGCAGCGACGCCGCGUGAGGGAUGACGGCCUUCGGGUUGUAAACCUCUUUCAGCAGGGAAGAAGCGAAAGUGACGGUACCUGCAGAAGAAGCGCCGGCUAACUACGUGCCAGCAGCCGCGGUAAUACGUAGGGCGCAAGCGUUGUCCGGAAUUAUUGGGCGUAAAGAGCUCGUAGGCGGCUUGUCACGUCGGUUGUGAAAGCCCGGGGCUUAACCCCGGGUCUGCAGUCGAUACGGGCAGGCUAGAGUUCGGUAGGGGAGAUCGGAAUUCCUGGUGUAGCGGUGAAAUGCGCAGAUAUCAGGAGGAACACCGGUGGCGAAGGCGGAUCUCUGGGCCGAUACUGACGCUGAGGAGCGAAAGCGUGGGGAGCGAACAGGAUUAGAUACCCUGGUAGUCCACGCCGUAAACGGUGGGCACUAGGUGUGGGCAACAUUCCACGUUGUCCGUGCCGCAGCUAACGCAUUAAGUG